GACGAACGUUGGCGGCGUGCUUAAUACAUGCAAGUCAACUGAAGCAGUGGUAGCAAUAUCGCUGUGGAGGUGGCGCACGGGUGAGUAACACGUAGGUAAUCUGCCUUCAGGUCUGGCAUAACUCCGGGGAACCGGGGCUAAUAGCAGAUGAUGCAGCGGCUCGACAUCGAGACCGUUGUUAAAUCUAUGCCGCCUGAAGAUGAGCCUGCGUCUGCUUAGCUAGUUGGCGGGGUAACGGCCCACCAAGGCAACGAUCAGUAGUGGGUCUGAGAGGAUGAUCAGCCACACUGGAACGGAGAAAAGGUCCAGACUCCUACGGGAGGCAGCAGUAAGGAACAUUGCUCAAUGGGAGAAAUCCUGAAGCAGCAACGCCGCGGGAGGGACGAAGGGCUUUUGCUUGUAAACCUCUGUAGUGAGAGAAAAAAAUCCCAAUCUUUGGGACAUGAUGGUAUCUAAAAAGUAAGCCCCGGCUAACUACGUG
rnacentral:rRNA from 1 species